UACGGAGGGUGCGAGCGUUGUCCGGAAUCAUUGGGCGUAAAGGGCGCGUAGGUGGCCCGGUCAGUUCGUGGUGAAAGCGCGGGGCUCAACCCUGCGUCGGCCAUGAAUACUGCCGCGGCUGGAGCACUGUAGAGGCAGGCGGAAUUCCGGGUGUAGCGGUGGAAUGCGUAGAUAUCUGGAGGAACACCGGUGGCGAAGGCGGCAUCCUGGACCGACACUGACGCUGAGGAGCGAAAGCCAGGGGAGCAAAGCGGGAU
rnacentral:rRNA from 1 species